UUGCUCCUGGGUGACGAGCGGCGGACGGGUGAGUAAUGUCUGGGAAACUGCCUGAUGGAGGGGGAUAACUACUGGAAACGGUAGCUAAUACCGCAUAACGUCGCAAGACCAAAGAGGGGGACCUUCGGGCCUCUUGCCAUCAGAUGUGCCCAGAUGGGAUUAGCUAGUAGGUGGGGUAAUGGCUCACCUAGGCGACGAUCCCUAGCUGGUCUGAGAGGAUGACCAGCCACACUGGAACUGAGACACGGUCCAGACUCCUACGGGAGGCAGCAGUGGGGAAUAUUGCACAAUGGGCGCAAGCCUGAUGCAGCCAUGCCGCGUGUAUGAAGAAGGCCUUCGGGUUGUAAAGUACUUUCAGCGAGGAGGAAGGCAUUAAGGUUAAUAACCUUGGUGAUUGACGUUACUCGCAGAAGAAGCACCGGCUAACUCCGUGCCAGCAGCCGCGGUAAUACGGAGGGUGCAAGCGUUAAUCGGAAUUACUGGGCGUAAAGCGCACGCAGGCGGUCUGUCAAGUCGGAUGUGAAAUCCCCGGGCUCAACCUGGGAACUGCAUUCGAAACUGGCAGGCUAGAGUCUUGUAGAGGGGGGUAGAAUUC
rnacentral:rRNA from 1 species